ACUCGUGACGGUGGAUGUCUAGGCUCCAGCAACGAUGAAAAACGCAGCAAAAUGCGAUACGUAGUGCGAAUUGCAAAAUCCGGGAAUCAUCAAAUCUUUGAACGCAAGUUGCGCUCGGGGGCAAUCCUGCGAGCAUGUCUGUUUGAGUGUCCGCACAA
rnacentral:rRNA from 1 species